rnacentral:lncRNA from 1 species
AAACUGAAAAAAGUGAUGAGACAUCCAGUCACUGUAGCAAAGAAAACGGGAAGCAGAUCCACAUGCCAACAGACUAUGCGGAAGUCACUGUGAGUACCGCUGCUCACGCAGGCCUGCUGCAGGGCUGCCCAUGCAGCCUUGCCUUCCUCCCUUCUCCAAAGCCUGACCCUGUCCCCUGCAGCCUGUCUCCCUCCACUGUCUUUUUCCUUCUGUGCUUUUUUGCCAUUAGCUUAAGUCUCCUUGUGUUGAAAUUGUCUUGCUUAAUGUCUUAAUUUCAAAACCAUAAAGAAGCUUGGUUGGGACGUAGCCCAGUUGGUAGCGUCCUUGCUUAGCAUGCAUAACACUCUGUUUCAUCUUGGCACUGCGUAAACUGGAUGUGGCGGUAUAUGCUUUUAAUCCCAGCACUCUUGAGAGUUCCAGAUGAAGCGUCAGAAAUCCAAGGUCAUCUUUGGAUGCCUGGCAAAUUGGAGGCCAUCCUGGGCUACAUGAGAACACGUCUCAAAAGCCAAUCAUGACACCUGAGGAGAUGCACACCUUUCAGCUCAUCACUUGGAGAGUGGAGGCAGGUGAUUUCUUAAGUUCAAAGCCAGCCUCUUAGAGCAAGUUUCAGGUCUGCUAGGGCUCCACAGCGAGACCUUUGUAAAAAGUAAAGGCAACAUGAAUGGCUUGAGCCGGUCUCUCCUAGUGACUGACGUUAGUGCUCUGUCUGUAGAUUAGGUCCUGGAGAUAAGGUG